ACAUCCAUGGUUGAAUGGUUAACGUGCCCAACUCAUAAUUGGUGAAGUGAGGUUCAAUUCCUACUAUAUGUA
rnacentral:tRNA from 1 species